rnacentral:tRNA from 1 species
AGCGCUCUUAGUUCAGUUCGGUAGAACGCGGGUCUCCAAAACCCGAUGUCGUAGGUUCAAAUCCUACAGAGCGUGAUUCCAUUCUUGUUAGAUCGAGAAUGACACUGAAAUAAUUGAACAGCAGUCUAAAGUAUGAAUUUAACCUCCAGUGGAUUAGGAUUAAAAACAAAGAAAUAGGAGGUCAAUAAACAAAAGAGAUGUUAAUUAAUCAAAGGUCCAAACGCGGAGGCAGUUCCAGUCCUUGUCGCAGCGCAGUAGUGAGUAGGUGAUCCAACACCAGAGAUAAAAGACGCAGCAGAUUCAUAUACUGACCUUAGUUAUAUAGAUCGUUUACCUAGAUACAGAAUGAGACCCUGAGGUCCAUAUCGGUAAUAGAAAGACCUGCCACCAAAAGCAUUCCGAUGGAGCAGAAGUAGACCCCCGCCAUAAUAGCACCACCUAGCUUCGCUGCAUCGGGAUAGUAGUAGCACAUAUCUUUUUCUAGUGAUCGUUAUAGGGAUAAUGAAACCAAUGAUAGAGUUGACCUAGCCUAGCGACAUCCAUCCCUUGUCUCCGACCGGGAGAUAGAGACUACUUCAUGCGCUACUUCAACAUCUCCUGCCAAGCCAAGGGGUAGGCCUUUUUUUUCAAGACCCCCUUUCGGAAAACGCAUUGGCUUUCAAUCAAGUUCGAGGAUCCAUUAAAUAAAGCAAUAAAUGCACGUUACAGACGAAAGGUAGAUGUUCAUUGGCGAAUAAAGAGAAUGCAAGCUAUGCAAAAACGGAUUUCAAUCAUUUUCUUAGCCCUCAAUCUCUUUCUGACACAGGGCUGAGCGCUCUAGAAGCGAAAUAAUGACCCUCGCAGGGUUGAUGAACCUGCCUUUUUGGGUGGGGUGAAAGACCUAGCAGCGGAAAGGCCGCUAUUCCUGCUGACUAGCUUCUCGCGAACUAUGCUACGCUCCGUUCGCUUGCUUGCUACUCACUGUAAUUCACAUUCACUGGCUUAAGAGCUAAUGAAUGCGGAGUGACAGUUGGUCCUGACUCUAACAAGUAAGUAAACCACCUUUGAAUGCUCGUGCAUUCAUAGAAGAUAAAUCAGUCAAUCAGGACAGGAACAGUCUCCGGCAGUCAGGUACAAGCAAGUAAGAGAAGAAGGUAAAGGCCUGACUCCGUUCCUG